rnacentral:lncRNA from 1 species
CUGCAGGAUGUCACAUGCAGAGUGUCUGUUUCCUGGCAGGCAAUGCCCUGUGACCCUUGGCAGCAGGAGCCUCUUUCCCUUCCGUCUUACUGCAUUGCUUUGAGUCCUCUCCGGGUGAGAGUUGAGAAUGUUGCUCCCUUGGAAGGCCCUGGACUAAAGCCCCAGCUAUGUGCCACAUUUCCUCAAGAAGAUGAGACAAAUGAAAUUUCUGCAGGAUUAUUUACAAGGCUUAUGUGGACCAGAGUUGUUCCCCGUGGACUGCCAUUUCCUCUGCAUGUUCAAGCUAUGAUUAGUGCAAGGUUGGAGAGGAGCCAUCCUCAUUUCAGGAAGGCAAGGUGACCAGUCACUGACCGCGGUGUGCUCCCUUCCUCACGGCAGAUCAAGAGCCCUUCUGGUUUGCUCCUAGCUUCCUCACCAGGAUGUAAUGAUACAUCCAAGCCAUGAGCCAUUUCCUUCGAUUGCACCUCCUCUGCUGGUGGUUGGCUAGAUAAGGGAUAUUAUAUAGCUUCACAAUCACUUUGAUGGACACAAUUUAUCAAAGGGACAUCCUACCCUUCCUUGUGCAAGUAGGGCUACGUGGGGCCGAGUACGUGCUCCCAGUCAGGGGACACUGAAUGGUCCUGGCAGUUCUGCUUCUGCUCAACAAAUGUCUAGUGGUGGCACAGCACUGGCAUAGACCCCAGACUUGGCACCAGCAAGAAUCCACAAUGAUUUUUUUUUUUAGAAUUAAAUGCUACUUGAUCCAUUAGAAUUUUGUCAUAUAUCACCUAGAUAGCUUAGGUAUGUGCUUGCUUAUUUACAGCAGUUAUAAACUUAUCUUCAUUAGUGGUCAUAGUGGCUCAUUUAAAAAAAUGGCACUGCAGUUAAGGGCAGGUAGCAAAUAUGCACAGAAACCACACAUUAUGAAAAUGUACAUAGAAGAUAAAUUGUCCACAAAAUUUACAAUUUAAAAUCCCUGGCUCCCAAGUUUAUUUUUGCAGCCUGCUUCCGUUUCCAUUUAUGUUAUAGGGCUUACACCCUCUGUUCAGU